UACGGAGGAUGCAAGCGUUAUCCGGAAUGAUUGGGCGUAAAGCGCCCAGGUGGCUAUGUAAGUCUGCUGUUAAAGAGUCUAGCUCAACUAGAUAAAAGCAGUGGAAACUACAAGGCUAGAGUACGUUCGGGGCAGAGGGAAUUCCUGGUGUAGCGGUGAAAUGCGUAGAGAUCAGGAAGAACACCAGUGGCGAAGGCGCUCUGCUAGGCCGUAACUGACACUGAGGGACGAAAGCUAGGGGAGCGAAUGGG
rnacentral:rRNA from 1 species